rnacentral:rRNA from 1 species
GAUGAACGCUGGCGGCGUGCCUAAUACAUGCAAGUCGAGGGAACAGACGAGGAGCUUGCUCCUCUGACGUUAGCGGCGGACGGGUGAGUAACACGUGGAUAACCUACCUAUAAGACUGGGAUAACUUCGGGAAACCGGAGCUAAUACCGGAUAAUAUAUUGAACCGCAUGGUUCAAUAGUGAAAGACGGUUUUGCUGUCACUUAUAGAUGGAUCCGCGCCGCAUUAGCUAGUUGGUAAGGUAACGGCUUACCAAGGCAACGAUGCGUAGCCGACCUGAGAGGGUGAUCGGCCACACUGGAACUGAGACACGGUCCAGACUCCUACGGGAGGCAGCAGUAGGGAAUCUUCCGCAAUGGGCGAAAGCUUGACGGAGCAACGCCGCGUGAGUGAUGAAGGUCUUCGGAUCGUAAAACUCUGUUAUUAGGGAAGAACAAAUGUGUAAGUAACUAUGCACGUCUUUACGGUACCUAAUCAGAAAGCCACGGCUAACUACGUG